AAAGAGGCUUUGGAGGAGCUUGCGAAUAUAUUAUGCGUUAGACCUAUAAGCCAACGUUAGAUCUUCUUUGUUUUCAUCAAUACAGUUUUAUCUGUAGUCUGUUUCAGAGUCAUUGUAUGAACAAUGGGAUCAAGGUCCCGAUCCCGUAGUAGUAGUCCAACUAGGGUUGAUCAGUUUGGGCGCGUUCUUCCUAAACAUCGUAGUCGAAGCAGGGACAGAGAAAGAUCCAGGAGUGUAAGGAGCAACUCCCGGAGUGUAAAGAGUAGCUCCCGAAGGAGUCGAAGUCCUUACAGGGGAGGCAGGAGCUCAAGAAGUCGUCGCAGCAGGAGUCCAAAGCCAGUGCUAAAGAGAAAUAUUCCUAAAAGCAAGCGACGGGUCUUCAAAAGGGACAGUCAUGACAGACUGGUGUCUGUUUCACCAUCUUCAUCCUCGUCUAGAUCACCUUCACCCCCUCAAUUCCCACAGUAUGACGUUUCAAAAAGUCCAACAAAUGAAACCAAUGUGAAUGAUCCAGACCUGAUGAAAUCCCGAGUUUUUAUCGGAAAUUUGCCGUAUGACAAAAUAACAAAGGCUGAAAUGGAAGAAAUCUUUUCUAAAUAUGGAAAGAUUCUAGGUAGGCUAUAUUCUUUACAUUUUUUAUUACAGGCUAUCAGUUAUAGCAUUAAUGAUGUUUAUUACUAUUCGAAAAAUGAAUUCUUUGAAAAUUAUAUCCUCUACACAUAUAUACAUCUCUUAAUCCAUGCAGUGAUAGGAAAUUUACAUUUCUCAAUCCGUGCAAUGAUAUGAAUUUCGCGUUUUUUAAAACCGUGCAAUGACAAUGAAUUUUCUUUGAAGAAUUUUUCUUCUUUUAACUUUAUGCUACCUGUCUUCCUAAAUAUAUUAUAUUUGGAGCUAUUGAGAAGUUUAAAACAAACAGGGUUCAAAGAAGAUAUUUUUACCAGGUGGCCUAUUUGGCUACCAAGUCAUAAAGUCUAGGCGCCAAUUGAAAAGUUAGUCGCCUGGUCUAGUUGUCUUAAAUUUGG